AUUGAACGCUGGCGGCAUGCCUUACACAUGCAAGUCGAACGGCAGCACGGGUGCUUGCACCUGGUGGCGAGUGGCGAACGGGUGAGUAAUACAUCGGAACAUGUCCUGUAGUGGGGGAUAGCCCGGCGAAAGCCGGAUUAAUACCGCAUACGAUCUACGGAUGAAAGCGGGGGACCGUCGGGCCUCGCGCUAUAGGGUUGGCCGAUGGCCGAUUAGCUAGUUGGUGGGGUAAAGGCCUACCAAGGCGACGAACAGUAGCCGGUCUGAGAGGGCGACCGGCCACACGGGGACUGAGACACGGCCCAGACUCCUACGGGAAGCAGCAGUGGGGAAUUUUGGACAAUGGGCGAAAGCCUGAUCCAGCAAUGCCGCGUGUGUGAAGAAGGCCUUCGGGUUGUAAAGCACUUUUGUCCGGAAAGAAAUCCUUGGCCCUAAUACGGUCGGGGGAUGACGGUACCGGAAGAAUAAGCACCGGCUAACUACGUG
rnacentral:rRNA from 1 species